CAUAUCCAUAUCCUCAUUUGAUCCUUGUCAAAAGGAUUGGUAGUCCGAGACGCCCAAAUGUGCUGAUGAAUGAUCAUUGUCACAUCAUAUUGGUUGGCGUGGCAUUGGUCGUCCAAUACUAGCCGAUAAAUGAUGAUACUUUUUUUUGGGGGCAUGAGCUCCUCAACUAUAAACUAAUUUGCUGCUUAUGACCACGCUUUUCCAUCAUC
ensembl:ncRNA C15B12.15 ncRNA